UAAAUCUUUGAUUAAAAAAAUACCUGAGUAAGAUGGUAUUGAGAUGUAUGUAUAGUAAAAAUUGAUUGUCAUUCCAAAGAUUAACACAAAAAAAUUUAAUCUGCACAUUUAUGUAGAACCUCUUCUUUAAAAUAAAAAUAAUAAAGAUGUUAAUAAAAUCGAAUGCAAGUUGAAAGUUCACAUGAACAUACAACCAUGCAUAUAUGAAACAUUGUUAAAUUAAAAGCAUAAGAA
rnacentral:lncRNA from 1 species